rnacentral:rRNA from 1 species
AUUGAACGCUGGCGGCAGGCCUAACACAUGCAAGUCGAACGGUAACAGGAAGAAGCUUGCUUCUUUGCUGACGAGUGGCGGACGGGUGAGUAAUGUCUGGGAAACUGCCUGAUGGAGGGGGAUAACUACUGGAAACGGUAGCUAAUACCGCAUAACGUCGCAAGACCAAAGAGGGGGACCUUCGGGCCUCUUGCCAUCGGAUGUGCCCAGAUGGGAUUAGCUAGUAGGUGGGGUAACGGCUCACCUAGGCGACGAUCCCUAGCUGGUCUGAGAGGAUGACCAGCCACACUGGAACUGAGACAAGGUCCAGACUCCUACGGGAGGCAGCAGUGGGGAAUAUUGCACAAUGGGCGCAAGCCUGAUGCAGCCAUGCCGCGUGUAUGAAGAAGGCCUUCGGGUUGUAAAGUACUUUCAGCGGGGAGGAAGGGAGUAAAGUUAAUACCUUUGCUCAUUGACGUUACCCGCAGAAGAAGCACCGGCUAACUCCGUG